AUAAGGGCCGGGAGGGGGAAAAAAAAGCGGAGGAAAAGAAACUAACUAGGAUUCCCUUAGUAACGGCGAGUGAACCGGGAUGAGCUCAAAUUUAAAAUCUGGCGUCUUUCAGGCGUCCGAGUUGUAAUCUACAGAGGCGUUUUCCGCGCCGGACCGCGUCCAAGUCCCUUGGAAUAGGGUAUCAAAGAGGGUGACAAUCCCGUACUUGACGCGACGACCGGUGCUCUGUGAUACGUUCUCAAUGAGUCGAGUUGUUUGGGAAUGCAGCUCUAAAUGGGUGGUAAAUUCCAUCUAAGGCUAAAUAUUGGCGAGAGACCGAUAGCGAACAAGUACCGUGAGGGAAAGAUGAAAAGCACUUUGGAAAGAGAGUUAAACAGCACGUGAAAUUGUUAAAAGGGAAGCGAUUGAAGUCAGUCGUGUGGGAGGUAUUCAGCCGUCUCUGGCGGUGUAUUUGCCUCUCACGGGUCAACAUCAGUUUGAUCCGGCAGAAAAAGGCGGGAGGAAGGUGGCACCCUCGGGUGUGUUAUAGCCUCCUGUCAUAUAUGCCGGACCAGACUGAGGAACGCAGCUCGCAGCAAUGCCGGGGUUCGCCCAGUACGAGCUUAGGAUGUUGACAUAAUGGCUUUAAACGACCGUCUUGAAACAACAC
rnacentral:rRNA from 1 species